CAUUCUCAUGGAGACUAUGUUGGAUUCUUAACCCACUGAGCCACAAUGGGAAUUCCUAUUGGCCCAUUUUCCAAUAGGCGAAAGUAUACUUAAGGAGACUGGCAGUUUCAACCUUAUGUAAUCCAUGCAGCUGGGUAUAUACUCACGAUAAAUGAAAAUAUAUAUCCAUGCAGAAACUAUUAUACAAAUAUUUAUAGCAGUAUUAUACACAAUAGCCAAAGGGUGAAAAAAACUCAAUCGCCUAUCAAGAGAUGACUGGAUAUACACACUGUGGUAUAUACAUGCAACAGAACAUUAUUCAGUUAUAAAAAGAAAUGAAGCAUUGAAACAUGCUACAAAUCAGAUGAAAACACCAUGUUAAGUGAAAGAAGCCAGAUACAAAGUUCACAUAUUAUAUAAUUUCUUUCAUGUGAAAUGAAUACCCAGAAUAGGCAAGUCCAUGGAGGCAGAUUAGUGGAAGGGGAAUGAGGAAUGAUUACUUAAUGGAUAUAUUUCUGUUUUGAAACUAGAGAGAAAAAGUUUUGAAACUUCAGAGAAACAUUGGUUGUACAAUACUGUGAAUGCCUCCGAAUUGCGCGCUUUAAGAUAUGUCAUUAAUUUUAUGUUGUGUAGAAUUCACCUCAAUUUUUUAAAAAACACAUCCGACUCAAAGCAUCACAGAGCUCUAAUCUUUUUCUUCAGAAGUCUCCCCAUAUACAACAGAACAAAACCCCAAGUACUUAUUUUGGCAUUCAAGACCUUUUACAACUUGUCCUAAACUAUAUCCACUCUCCUCCACUCCAAAUUUCCACUACUUCAAGUCCUCUAUGCUCCAGUCACACUGAAUGGUAGCUCAAUAUUGCCCAAACAUGUGGGCAUAACCUUGCAUUGCAAUGUUCUUUCAUAACUAACUGCAUAUGCUAUUCUUCCCAGCUACGCUAUGAGCAUCACAAAGGAAGAGACAACAACUGAUUCAUCUUGUCCUUUCCAGAUCUAACCCUGGGACUGGUAUUAAGAAAUGAGAAGAGCUAAAUCAGAUAUCCUGGACUUUCUAUGGACCUGCCUUCAAUGGAGGGAGAGGUCCUGACAAAGAACACAAAGGACCCCUGGAAGUAAUGAGAGGAAGUGGAGAACACAGACUCUGGAGUCUGACAUCACCAUGCAGGUCUGCAUACCUCUGCAGAGUCAAAUGGAUAAAGCAUGAUAAUGCAAAGAAGAGCCUUACCCACACAGUAGAUAGAUAAAUCAAUGAUAGUUUGUCUGCUCUUUCCCAACACCAGAAACCGGCUGAGACAAUCAGGUGAUAAAAUCAGCAGGACAUCAAACAUCUGGAAUUGAAAACCAAUAAUGGUGGUUAAAAGAAAAUGUUCUGUUUUUAAAUAAAUGUGCAUGAAUAGUAAUAUUAAAAAUGGAAAAAUAUAGCUUGGAGACUUGUUCACUGUGUUUGGGCCCUAGUCUUUUGCUGAUUACAGCAUAAAUUGAGAAUGGGUAAAUGUUUCACCAUGGACAAAGCUUUAUAUGCUGAAUAUAGAUUUUCUAAUGCUUGAGUUUCCAUUAGAGUUUACAUUUAUGUACUUAAUGCCUGAGAGGAUGCUUGACUAAUAUAUUAUAUCAUUGUGAGUUCACUUUUUUAAAGAUGAGUUUAAAAGAUGGAAAAUGAGCUUUAGAAGCUAACAGAAUAAAGAGACUUAAAUAGCAAGAAAGCUAUAACUCUGGAGCCCCAGAUUAUCCUGAUGUAUUAAAUUAAAAAUUUUUCAAUCUUAUAACUUGUUCUAUUCUUUGCUCUCCACUGACAAGAAAAUGAUUUUUAUAGGAAAUCUUUAAAAUAUUGGUUCUUCAUUCAUAUAGUAAUUAGACUGGAAGGACAAAACUGUAAACUUCUUGGAAGCAAAAGAAAACACUAGGUUUUCAAACAUGGAGAAAUGGAAAUAAAAGUGAUCUGGAGUAUGUACUUUGUGCUAGCCACCCUGCUAGGUAAUUUUGAAUGUGUCAUAUCUGAGCCAUUACCAUUGCAUCGUAGGUAUUAUUAGCCCAUUUCACAGAUAAAAUGCAUAAACUUUGGAUGACUCACCCAAGAUCACAUGGAUGGUAAAGGGGAGAGUCAUGAAUCUUUACUAGUGUAGGCCCUACCUUCUGUACAAGAGGCACUGGAAAUACAUCUAUAUUUAGAGUCAGAAGAUGGGGUUUAGGACCAGGUCUUUUUUUUUUUUUUCUACUGUACAGCAUGGUGACCCAGUUACACAUACAUGUAUACAUUCUUUUUUCUCACAUUAUCAUGCUCCAACAUAACCCCAUGUGGCUCACAACAUAACUACUUGGCAUUGCUUCUACAGUGGCUGUGGCUCAAUCCCUGGUUCAGGACCCAGGUCUUUACUCAUGAGUAUUUAGAGUUUAGUCAAGGCAUAGCACUGUCUAGGGUUUAAUUUCUUCAUGUAUAAAAUGAGAACCCUAGCACCUCAGGGUACUGUGAGCUGUGAAAGUGAUUUUUAAGCUGCCAAAGGCAAUUGAAGAAGGCUCGUCUGAAAGGUGGUGAUACCCUAUAACCCACCUCUCAGAAUAAACAUGAGGAGUCAUUGGACACUGGAUGUCACAGUCAAUGCAAGCCCAAGGCAGGAGCCUGAAAAGAUGAGUUAUCAACAUUCCUAGGAGUUUUGCAGAGCUCAAGAACUCAAUAAAACAUUUCUUACAAGUUUGGAUUUUCUAAGAUAGUUAGUGUAGCAUACCUGAGUUCAGAAGCCCAGAGAAUACCUUCAGACUGUAGUUUAGGAAAUGAGAACUUUGAGAAGCUAAUAUGGCACAGUCUUUAGUCAAAUACAUCCCAUUAUUAGAUUUGUGAGGAACCGUGGAAAUUACAUAGGACCAAACUUUCAUUUUGCAGAUGAGGGAAGUGAGGCUUAGAUGUACAGCUCAUCAGUAGCAGAGGUGAGACUAGAACUCACAUCUCCUGACCCUGAGUUUGUGUUCUUUUCUACCAAAUUCAUUGUUCUUCUAACUUCAUUUAGACUCAGGAAUGGCAUAGAUACCAAAGUCAAAGACAAAGUAUUAAUUACUAAGCCUACAAGUAAAAAUCUAUGUGGGUUUACCCUUACUGAAUGACUUGAGGAAAGCUACUUCAUACUUGUCUCAGUAGCCUGUAAAAUGAGUUAUAAUAAUACUGAUUUCAGAGGUUAUUGUGAGGAUAAUACAGGAAAAGUUCUUAGCAUAGUCUUCUUACUGUGCUGGUAACUGCUCAACUCUUGUUGGUUAUCAUACAAUCACCAAUCUUCUACAUGCCAUAAAACCCAGUAAUGUGACUACCUGUGUGUCUCCUUUUUAGGGUAAACCCUGAACUAGCAGGGACCCUAUCAGGAGACACCCUGCAUGUAACUUGCGUAGACCCUGUUGGGGGUCAGUCUGUUUAUUUCACUUUAUCUAGAGUUUGAAGCAAUCAUAACAUGAGAGGAUGAGGCUAGACUUGGAGGGAAAAGAGGAGGUGAAGCUUUCAUUUUGAGCAUUUGAGCCUGAGUCCCAGUUUCUUUUCCUACAGAUGAGGAUAUUAAUAUCCAUUCUUUUUAACUUUGUGGUACUCAAAG